UCGAGGAGCUGGCGGCCGAGAUCGUCGCGGCCGGCGGCACGCCGCCUGCAGUCGUCACCGAGGAUCUGACCGCCGACGGCGCAACGGAACGCAUUCGCGACCGCGUGCUCGAAGCGUUCGGCGGCAGGCUCGACGUGCUCGUCAACAACGCGGGCAGCUCGCGGCCGGUGCCAUGGAAUGCGACCGAGGAACAGUGGCACGAGGGCAUGCGCCUGAACUUCGAGCUCGUGCGCCGGUUGACGAACCAGUUCAUUCCGCAAAUGCGUACGCAGCGCUUCGGCCGCAUCAUCAACAUCACGGGCGCCAACGAGCCGCCUGGCGUCAACAUCGCGUCGGUCGCAAAGGCAGCGCUGCACAACUGGGCGAAGGGGUUGUCCCGCGAGCUCGCGCAGGACGGCAUCACGAUCAAUUGCUUGCCGCCGGGGCGCAUCAAUAGCGAGCAGAUCUUGGGCCGGUUGCACCCGACGGAAGACAAUCGCCGCGCCUUCAUCGCGGCCAACAUACCGAUCGGCUACUUCGGCGAGCCCGAGGACAUGGCGUACCUCGUGGCCUUUCUGGCGUCGCCGCUUGCGCGCUACAUCACGGGCGAGAUCAUCCACGUCGACGGCGGCAUGCACCGCUUCGCCGGCUGAGAAGGCGGCCGCGCACAUUCCGCGUUGCCCUUCGAGUAGCCGUGGGUGCAAGCUUCCCGCGUUGACGGCGCGAGGAAUCGACAUGAGCUCACGCCUCUGUUCCUGGCUCAUCGGCGGCUUGGCCCUGAUGACGUCUUCCUCGGUCCUGGCCCAUCACUCGGUCGCGUAUUACUCGAGCGAUAGGCUCGAGCUCGCAGGUGAGAUCACCGCAAUCCGCUGGCAGAACCCGCAUAUCCACUUCGAGCUGCGGACGAUCGGUAGCGACGGCGCCGCAACAACCUGGCAGCUCGAGAGCAGCGCGAUUUACCUGCGCGAGAAAGACGGCGUAACGCGCGACCUGUUUCGCGUCGGCGACCGCGUCAAAGUGUUCGGGAGAACGUCGUCGCACGACGCCGCGGCGCUGCUCGUCACGAACAUGCUGCUACCGGACGGGCGGGAAGCGCCGCUCUGGCCGAAUACGGGGCCGCACUUCGUGAGUGAGGGGAAAUGGAUCACCGCCACGCCCAAGCUCGUCGACGCGGCGGCGGAAAAUCGCGGGAUCUUCAGAGUGUGGCGGCCGAA
rnacentral:misc_RNA from 1 species